rnacentral:rRNA from 1 species
CCUCCAUGCUUCCAAGAAAAGCAUCUAGAGAGAGAAGUAGUGCCCGUACCGCAAACCGACACAGGUAGAUGAGGAGAGAAUCCUAAGGCCGGCGGAAGAAUUGCAGUUAAGGAACUAGGCAAAUUGACCCCGUAAGUUAGCGAGAAGGGGUGCCUGCGAGAGCAGGCCGCAGAGAAUAGGCCCAAGCAACUGUUUAGCAAAAACACAGGUCUCUGCUAAAGCGCAAGCUGAUGUAUAGGGGCUGACGCCUGCCCGGUGCUGGAAGGUUAAGGGGAACACUUAGCGCAAGCGAAGGUGUGAACUUAAGCCCCAGUAAACGGCGGCCGUAACUAUAACGGUCCUAAGGUAGCGAAAUUCCUUGUCAGGUAAGUUCUGACCCGCACGAAUGGCGUAAUGACUUGGGCACUGUCUCAACUGCAAAUCCGGCGAAGUUGUAGUGCGAGUGAAGAUGCUCGCUACCCGCGAUUGGACGGAAAGACCCCGUAGAGCUUUACUGUAGCUUAGCAUUGAAUUCCGGUAUUGUCUGUACAGGAUAGGUGGGAGACUGGGAAACUAGGGCGUCAGCCUUGGUGGAGUCGUCCUUGGGAUACCACCCUGACAGUACUGGGGUUCUAACAGGACGCCAUGAAUCUGGUGACUGGACAUUGUUAGGUGGGCAGUUUGACUGGGGCGGUCGCCUCCUAAAAAGUAACGGAGGCGCCCAAAGGUUCCCUCAGAACGGUCGGAAACGUUCGUAGAGUGCAAAGGCAGAAGGGAGCCUGACUGCGAGACCUACAAGUCGAGCAGGGACGAAAGUCGGGCUUAGUGAUCCGGUGGUACCUCGUGGGAGGGCCAUCGCUCAACGGAUAAAAGCUACCUCGGGGAUAACAGGCUGAUCUCCCCCAAGAGUCCACAUCGACGGGGAGGUUUGGCACCUCGAUGUCGGCUCGUCGCAUCCUGGGGCUGUAGUAGGUCCCAAGGGUUGGGCUGUUCGCCCAUUAAAGCGGCACGCGAGCUGGGUUCAGAACUCGUGAGACAGUUCGGUCCCUAUCCGUCGCGGGCGUAGGAAAUUUGAGAGGAGCUGUCCUUAGUACGAGAGGACCGGGAUGGACUGACCUCUGGUGCACCAGUUGUUCUGCCAAGAGCAUGGCUGGGUAGCUAAGUCGGGAAGGGAUAAACGCUGAAAGCAUCUAAGCGUGAAGCCUCCCUCAAGAUGAGAUUUCCCAUAGCAUAAGCUAGUAAGACCCCUUGAAGAACACGAGGUUGAUAGGUCAGAGGUGUAAGUGUGGUAACAUAUUUAGCUGACUGAUACUAAUAGGUCGAGGGCUUGACC